rnacentral:tRNA from 1 species
GCCCGAGUGGCGGAAUUGGUAGACGCGAGGGACUUAAAAUCCCUUGGGGGCUAAACCUCCGUGCCGGUUCGAGUCCGGCCUCGGGUACCA